UUGAACGCUGGCGGCAUGCCUAACACAUGCAAGUCGAACGGCAGCACAGCAGUAGCAAUACUGUGGGUGGCGAGUGGCGGACGGGUGAGGAAUACGUCGGAAUCUGCCCAGUCGUGGGGAUAACUAGCCGAAAGGUUAGCUAAUACCGCAUACGACCGAGAGGUGAAAGCGGGGACCGCAAGGCCUCGCGCGAUUGGAUGAGCCGACGUCGGAUUAGCUAGUUGGCGGGGUAAAGGCCCACCAAGGCGACGAUCCGUAGCUGGUCUGAGAGGAUGAUCAGCCACACUGGAACUGAGACACGGUCCAGACUCCUACGGGAGGCAGCAGUGGGGAAUAUUGGACAAUGGGCGCAAGCCUGAUCCAGCAAUGCCGCGUGUGUGAAGAAGGCCUUCGGGUUGUAAAGCACUUUAUCAGGAACGAAAAGCGUUGGAUUAAUACUCUGACGUGCUGACGGUACCUGAGGAAUAAGCACCGGCUAACUUCGUG
rnacentral:rRNA from 1 species